UACGUAGGGUGCAAGCGUUAAUCGGAAUUACUGGGCGUAAAGCGUGCGCAGGCGGCUAUGCAAGACAGAUGUGAAAUCCCCGGGCUCAACCUGGGAACUGCAUUUGUGACUGCAUAGCUAGAGUACGGUAGAGGGGGAUGGAAUUCCGCGUGUAGCAGUGAAAUGCGUAGAUAUGCGGAGGAACACCCGAUGGCGAAGGCAGCCCCCCUGGGAUAACACUGACGCUCAUGCACGAAAGCGUGGGGAGCAAACAGG
rnacentral:rRNA from 1 species